GUGGACAAGUGGGUGAUUGAAGAGGUGGAUAUUCCUCUUCAGUACGAAAUGCGGUUGGAGUGUGGUGUGAUGGUAGUGCUUCCUGAAGCCUUGGCUGCAAUCUACCAGCUGCACAAAGGCACAGCCAGCCUACAAGAGGCUAGGGAUUGUGUCCGGAAAGCAGGAGUUCGUGAUUAGUUCGUGGGAGUAGACUAGAGUUGAACUUAGACCUGUUACUGGUCUGUAAGAUAAUACUAUUUUCUGUCUAGUGCUGUUU